GAGCAACGCCGCGUGAGUGAAGAAGGCCUUCGGAUCGUAAAGCUCUGUUGUAAGAGAAGAACUGUGAGAGAGUGGAAAGUUCACACAAGUGACGGUAACUUACGAGAAAGGGACGGCUAACUACGUGCCAGCAGCCGCGGUAAUACGUAGGUCCCGAGCGUUGUCCGGAUUUAUUGGGCGUAAAGCGAGCGCAGGUGGUUUAUUAAGUCUGGUGUAAAAGGCACUGGCUCAACAAUAGUAUGCCAUUGGAAACUGGAAGACUUGAGUGCAGGAGAGGGGAGUGGAAUUCCAAGUGUAGCGGUGAAAUGCGUAGAUAUAUGGAGGAACACCGGUGGCGAAGGCGGCUCUCUGGCCUGUAACUGACACUGAGGCGCGAAAGCGUGGGGAGCAAACAGGAUUAGAUACCCUGGUAGUCCACGCCGUAAACGAUGAGUACUAGAUGUAGGGAGCUAUAAG
rnacentral:rRNA from 1 species